rnacentral:lncRNA from 1 species
AGACAAAUUACAAUACAACAUCUUACAUUUAUAAAUUACGGCCUAGAAAAAUCAUCGGGGGAAAUUUAGCAAUGGUCUUCUUCCUCCAUUGUCAAAUAUGAUUGGAAACCCAUUUUAAAGGACAACUCAGGCACUUUUGUGUUGAGGCGAUAUUAAAUGGUGGACCAAGGAAUUCCAUAAGUGUUGGAUAGUUUUUGGAGACGUAACGACUUAUAAUACUUACAUGCAAAAAUCUCAAUGUCACUCGAAAAUAACUAACUUUUUCACAUUUCGCAAUGAGUACACCAAAUAAAAGUUCUUUGAUAAAGUCGAAUGCUGC